UGUGUUGUUGGGUAGGGGAGCGUUCUGUAAGCCUGUGAAGGUGUGCUGUGAGGUAUGCUGGAGGUAUCAGAAGUGCGAAUGCUGACAUAAGUAACGAUAAAGCGGGUGAAAAGCCCGCUCGCCGGAAGACCAAGGGUUCCUGUCCAACGUUAAUCGGGGCAGGGUGAGUCGACCCCUAAGGCGAGGCCGAAAGGCGUAGUCGAUGGGAAACAGGUUAAUAUUCCUGUACUUGGUGUUACUGCGAAGGGGGGACGGAGAAGGCUAUGUUGGCCGGGCGACGGUUGUCCCGGUUUAAGCGUGUAGGCUGGUUUUCCAGGCAAAUCCGGAAAAUCAAGGCUGAGGCGUGAUGACGAGGCACUACGGUGCUGAAGCAACAAAUGCCCUGCUUCCAGGAAAAGCCUCUAAGCAUCAGGUAACAUCAAAUCGUACCCCAAACCGACACAGGUGGUCAGGUAGAGAAUACCAAGGCGCUUGAGAGAACUCGGGUGAAGGAACUAGGCAAAAUGGUGCCGUAACUUCGGGAGAAGGCACGC
rnacentral:rRNA from 1 species